UGGGGAAUAUUGCGCAAUGGGGGAAACCCUGACGCAGCGAUGCCGCGUGGAUGAUGAAGGCCUUAGGGUUGUAAAAUCCUUUCGCCGAGGACGAUAAUGACGGUACUCGGAGAAGAAGCUCCGGCUAACUUCGUGCCAGCAGCCGCGGUAAUACGAAGGGGGCUAGCGUUGUUCGGAUUUACUGGGCGUAAAGCGCGUGUAGGCGGGUUGGAAAGUUGGGGGUGAAAUCCCGAGGCUCAACCUCGGAACUGCCUCCAAAACUUCCAGCCUGGACUCAAGUAGAGGCAAGUGGAGUUGCGAGUGUAGAGGUGAAAUUCGUAGAUAUUCGCAGGAACACCAGUGGCGAAGGCGACUUGCUGGACUUGUAGUGACGCUGAGACGCGAAAGCGUGGGGAGCAAACAGGAUUAGAUACCCACGUAGUCCCUGAGCGGGCUGGCAAGGCGCAU
rnacentral:rRNA from 1 species